ACACGGAAGGGAGGUGGUCCAAGAAGUGAUUUCAAUUUGGACGCGUGAGGUGACUGCGCGCUAGCGCACCUCGACUGCUCGAGGUCCGCCAUCCGGCGCAAUCCCAAGCAGUUCACCGCAGCCCGUGGGCCGCGCAGGUCGUCCCCUGCGCACGCCGAGCCGCUCGAUCGCGGCGAGGCGAGGCCCACGGGCUGUUCCAU
rnacentral:sRNA from 1 species